UACGGGAGAAAGCAGGGGAUCUUCGGACCUUGCGCUAAUAGAUGAGCCUAWGUCGGAUUAGCUAGUUGGUGGGGUAAAGGCCUACCAAGGCGACGAUCUGUAGCGGGUCUGAGAGGAUGAUCCGCCACACUGGGACUGAGACACGGCCCAGACUCCUACGGGAGGCAGCAGUGGGGAAUAUUGGACAAUGGGGGGAACCCUGAUCCAGCCAUGCCGCGUGUGUGAAGAAGGCCUUAUGGUUGUAAAGCACUUUAAGCGAGGAGGAGGCUACUGAGACUAAUACUCUUGGAUAGUGGACGUUACUCGCAGAAUAAGCACCGGCUAACUCUGUGCCAGCAGCCGCGGUAAUACAGAGGGUGCGAGCGUUAAUCGGAUUUACUGGGCGUAAAGCGUGCGUAGGCGGCUUUUUAAGUCGGAUGUGAAAUCCCCGAGCUUAACUUGGGAAUUGCAUUCGAUACUGGGAAGCUAGAGUAUGGGAGAGGAUGGUAGAAUUCCAGGUGUAGCGGUGAAAUGCGUAGAGAUCUGGAGGAAUACCGAUGGCGAAGGCAGCCAUCUGGCCUAAUACUGACGCUGAGGUACGAAAGCAKGGGGAGCAAACAGGAUUAGAUACCCUGGUAGUCCAUGCCGUAAACGAUGUCUACUAGCCGUUGGGGCCUUUGAGGCUUUAGUGGCGCAGCUAACGCGAUAAGUAGACCGCCUGGGGAGUACGGUCGCAAGACUAAAACUCAAAUGAAUUGACGGGGGCCCGCACAAGCGGUGGAGCAUGUGGUUUAAUUCGAUGCAACGCGAAGAACCUUACCUGGCCUUGACAUACUAGAAACUUUCCAGAGAUGGAUUGGUGCCUUCGGGAAUCUAGAUACAGGUGCUGCAUGGCUGUC
rnacentral:rRNA from 1 species